UUGGCUCAGGUGAAGGCUGAUGAAGC
rnacentral:misc_RNA from 1 species